rnacentral:rRNA from 1 species
GACGAACCGUGCGAACGUUAUUCGGAUUCACUGGGCUUAAAGGGCGCGUAGGCGGCGAUUCAAGUCUGGGGUGAAAGCCUUCGGCUUAACCGGAGAAGUGCCUUGGAUACUGGAUCGCUCGAGGGGGAUAGGGGCAUGCGGAACUUCCGGUGGAGCGGUGAAAUGCGUAGAUAUCGGAAGGAACGCCGGUGGCGAAAGCGGCAUGCUGGGUCCCUUCUGACGCUGAGGCGCGAAAGCCAGGGGAGCAAACGGGAUUAGAUACCCCGGUAGUCCUGGCCCUAAACGAUGGGUACUAGGUAGUGGGCUGACAUGGGCUCACUGCCGAAGCAAAAGUGAUAAGUACCCCGCCUGGGGAGUAUGGUCGCAAGGCUGAA